UCAUAAGGAAGGGAAAAUAUGUUUACUAUUGAUUAAGUGGAGGUGGAUCAUCUUAAAGGUCUUCAUCCUCAUAGCCUUCAUGUUUGGGAGGGUGAGGAGGAAGGAGGGGUUGGUCUUGCUGCCUCAGGGGUGACAGAGGCAGAAGAAAAUCUAAGUAUAAGUGGACCCAUGCAGUUCAAAUUCAUGUUGUUCAAAGGCCAACUGUACUUUCUUAUCCUGUUUGUGCCUUGACUAUUCUGUCUAUCCUCCCAACCACAUAUAUGUUAAAAGAAAAAACAAAGGGCAGCUAUUUAGCUUAUAUUAAAGCUAUGAUCUUGCUGAUUACCAAUCCACUUGCCUCUUAAAGGAAAAUAGAGUCUUCAAGUCAAAUCGAGAAAAUUAAGUGACUUGGGCUAAGUUGAGUGGCGGUGCUUCAUUUCAUUUUACCUGCUUUUCAACAGUAGACAUCGCUUCCCUGAGUUUUAAAAUGAUAAUGUGGCCGUCAAAAUCUUGACUGCCACACAAACCAGCAAGUAACACCUAAAGAAGGGGAAGGUCUAGGAUGGGAGAGAGAGAAAAGAGAAUUCAACACAAGAGAAAGUAUUCCCUGGCAGGCUACGAGUCAUCACAGAUUACCUUUUAGCAGAGUUUCAUGGCAGAAAACUUGUAGUGGAAUCUAGAGAGCAAUGAUAAUAUUGUCUCAUAUUGUGUCUAGCUUUACAGCUUAUAAAAUGCUGUCACAUGCACAAGCAUUCCUCAGGUGAUCCACACAACCACUCUCUAGUUGAACGUCCUCAGGUGAUCCACAUAACCACUGUCUAGUUGAACUUCCUCAGGUGAUCCACAUAACCACUGUCUAGUUGAACUUCCUCAGGUGAUCUACAUAACCACUCUCUAGUUGAACUUCCUCAGGUGAUCCACAUAACCACUCUCUAGUUGAACUUCCUCAGGUGAUCCACAUAACCACUCUCUAGUUGAACUUCCUCAGGUGAUCCACAGAACCACUGUCUAGUUGAACUUCCUCAGAGGAUCCACAUAACCACUGUCUAGUUGAAUAUGAUUCAUUCCUUUUGCGUGUGAGCAAACAUAGGCUCAGAGGAGUUCAGGGACCGCAGGGCUAUUGCCAGCACAAUACCAAAGCUGAGACUAGAGUUCAGCUUUCUUUAGGGGUUUAAGUCUGAUACUCUUUCCCUAUAUCACAUUAUUAAAAUAUUAAAGUAGCAGAGAGUAUUUCAGAUAUGGUGGACAAAUGAAACAAUGACAUAAAUGGGAGGGAGAGGAGCACAAAAGUUCAUGCCACUGACAUCGCAGUGAGGACACUUUCCCCAGCCGGGGCCAUCAGAUAGUAUGAAUUUCUGUUCACUAGUGUUCCAGUUGGUUUCUUUAACUGAAGGAGGAGGACGGGGAGAAGGAGAGCUUUUGAAAUGGAGGAGAAAGAGGAGAGGAGGAGAAGAAGAAGGACAACAGAGAAACGAGAAAGGGAGCUUUCAAUAUGAGGAGGGAGGAGGAGAGCUUUUGAAAUCUAAGCUGGUUCCCAAGCAAAAAAAAAAAAAAAA